UUUGGUUUUUGAAUAUUUCUUCCUUUUGGGAUUUUUAACGUGCUAUUUAUUUUGGCAAAUUCUUUGGGUCAUUUUCCUCUUCUCUUAUAAAAAAGGGUUUUUUCUUUUAGUUAACUUGUAUCCUUUUUUAAUGUUUUCUUUUCGUUUAUGCCACAAAGAAAAUGGGUCGUUUCGUUUAAGUUGAUUUCUAUCCUUAACUUUUUCCUUUUUGGGGAGUGUCUCGUUCAAUUUUGUAGAUUUGGUAAAAAUGUUUCUUCAAAAUGAGGUAGUUUUUGUUUAUUCAUUUAUUCUGUUGGUGGGUUCUAAAGGUAUGCUUCCUGUCAUGAAAUAAUACAAGGGAGAAAAAAAAAUUAGUCGAAAUUAUUUAGUUCUUGUAGUGAUUGUGGUGACGCUUGACUAGUUCGAGUUCGAGUUCGAAUAACAGAGUGUUCUUCAAAUUGAGUUACAGGACCGUUUGAGCUCCAGUUUCGAAUAUGUACUAAGCAGCAUCAAAAACGGCGGGCUGGAAACUAGAGCCUUUUCUGCAGUCAAUGUAGAAAUCCUGAAUUACAAACUUAUGGCGCCAAAUCCUAAGUUUGGAAAGGCUUACAAGGCUAUGAGAGCUCUCGGCUAUCCUCAGCAUAUUGUAAAACCUGUAUUAAAGAGUCUUUUGGACGUGUAUAACCAAAAUUGGCAGCAUAUUGAGGAUCAGAACUAUACUGUUCUGGUGGAUGCUAUUCUUGAGAGUGAGGAAUGCAAGGAAAAGGAACAGCAGAAAUUCCACUUAGUAGAUGAGCCAGAAGAGGAUGAGCCACCAUUGAAAAAGUCAAGAUUGAGAAGUCAAGCUGUUCAAGCUUUGUCUUCUCCUGGUGAUUCCAGCCCAAGUUUUAAAGGAACUAUGGAUAAGCCAGUUCAUCAUGUUGAAUAUGUAAUUCCUGAAUCUAAUGCGAAGGAAAAGAUGAUUGAGUCAGUUCAUGUUCAUCUCUUUGAUAAUGAAACAGAAGCCAAGGUCCUGUCUCGGGUGCCACAUUAUCGAGGAGAAGUGAAAACCAGUACUCCAAAUUCUUCUUCAGGACCAAAACCGAAAACGAAAAUUCAAGUGCCGGCUCAUCAUAAAACCAAUGAGUCUGAUUUGCCCUCGCCAGGAACACAACUCAAUGAGAAUUGUGAUGCUUACACCUCCUGUUCAAUCGUUCCCAGAAUGGUAAAUGAAACAGGUAAAAAAGAGCUGUUGCCUGAUGACCUAUCAGAGCUUGAGGUUCCUCUCUCUGUAGUUCUUCCUGGUGAUUCUUCUAAUGCAAAAGUACAUAUUUCAACAUCCCUUGAAGUUAUUGAUCUCGACAUGGAAGAUACAAAUAAUGUCGAAUUGUUGACUCAAGGUGAUUCUUCUAAUGCAAAAGAACAUUUUUCAACAUCACUUGAACUGAUUGAUCUUGACAUGGAAGAUCCAUCUGCAUUCUCUCUAUGUUAUGAAGAUGAAUCUUCAAGUGGAAAGGAUUCUCUUCCUCAAGGAAACCGUCUGGAAUAUCAAUGUUCAGUUGCAACAAAAGAGGAAAAUAAAUCCUCAACCUCUUCACAAAUAGACAUUGCUUCUUCUUCCAGCGGGGAGGUUAAACUUUCUAUAAUCUAUGAAUCUUCCCUUCCAUCAAAUUUUUGUAUUCCAAGUUUAGAUGCCCUCUUUAGGCGGAUGGAGGAAAAGCUUCAUAAAUCAUACAGAAUCAAUCAACCUGGUUUCUCUGUGAUGAAUCUGAUGAAAGAUAUAUGUGAGGGCUUUUUAGCAGUGGGGACCAACACCACUCUUGAUGAAGGAGUAAGUUCUGCUGAUGUACAUGCCAAUCCAGUUGCUCCUAGAAUUUUAGAUACUCAAGAUGUUUUAAAUGGGAAUGUCAGUCAUCAAGUUGGUUUUUGCGUUGCGCCGAGUAUUUCACUGGGGCCUGUAGAGUUUCAAAGCCUAAAUGAAGCCCCACCCAAGAUUCCAAAGUUUCAAAGUUUGAAUUGUUUUGACUUAAGCCGCUGCAAGAUAGAUUUAACCAUGCAGGGGUCCUACAGUGAAUGGAACAAAAACAGUCUAGCACUUGGAGACCAAAAAUCUUCAACUUCAAGCAGUAUGGUGAUUGUUCAGGCGCAACAUUUUUCUAAUGAAAUGCUCAGUUCUGCUUAUUAUAUUGAUGAUAUUACAAGAGGGGAAGAGGAUUUGGAGAUUUCAUUGAUAAAUGAAAUUAACAAUGAGCAUCAGCCUAUUUUUAAGUACAUUCCCAGAAACAUCACUUAUCAAAGUGCGUAUGUUAAAUUUCUUCUUGCUCGUAUAUCUGAUGAGAAUUGCUGUUCCAAUUGCUUUGGAGAUUGUUUAUCUUCCAAAAUCCCUUGUGCUUGUGCUGGUGAAACUGGUGGUGAGUUUGCUUACAUGCCAGGGGGUACUCUUAAAGAAAAGUUUCUUGAAGACUGUAUGUUGAUGAAUCAGAGUCCCCAGCAGAAAAAUCUUUUCUACUGUCAAGAGUGUCCACUAGAAAGGUCCAAGGAUAAAAACUUAUCUGGAAAAUGCAAGGGCCAUCUAGUCAGGAAGUUUAUAAAAGAGUGCUGGUAUAAAUGUGGUUGUAUUAAGGAUUGUGGCAAUCGUGUUGUUCAGCGAGGCAUAACACGCAAAUUGCAGGUGUUUAUGACACCCGAAGGAAAAGGAUGGGGUCUUAGAACCCUUGAGGACUUGCCUAAAGGUGCCUUUAUUUGCGAGUAUGUGGGAGAAAUAGUGACCAACAUGGAACUUUUUGACCGAAAUUCACAAAACACUGGAAAGAAGCACACAUAUCCUGUGCUACUCGAUGCAGACUGGUGUACUGAAGGAGUCCUGAAGGAUGAGGAAGCCCUUUGUUUGGACGCUACCUUUUAUGGAAAUGUUGCUAGAUUUGUCAAUCACAGAUGUGACGAUGCAAACUUGGUUGAGAUUCCAGUUGAAGUGGAGACUCCAGAUCAUCACUAUUACCAUCUUGCUUUUUUCACGACAAGGAAAGUUGAUGCUUUUGAAGAGUUGACAUGGGACUAUGGCAUUGACUUCUGUGAUCAUACUCAUCCGGUGAAGGCUUUCAAAUGUUGCUGUGGUAGUCAAUUCUGCCGAGACAAGAAAUAUUUGAAAAUAGGUUCACAUAAUAAGAGCAAGAGAUGAGUUGGUGCCAGAUUUUUUUUGCUUUGGAAGGAAAACUGAAAAGUCAUUUCAAUGUCCUUUGGGCAUCAUGAAGAUAACAUGUGUUAGAUCCCGCGGAUAAUUCUCAGAGAAUGAAGCUGGAAAAGGGUGUCCAUGCUUCGAUAUUCUGUGUUGCAAUCUUUUUUGCUUGUUUUUAAGGUGGUCUAUGCUAAUUAAGAGAUCAAUUGCAUGUAGUGUUAUGCACCAUACUUAGUCAUACUUCUGUCAAAUUCUCAACAGUGGCAAGGGAUAACGGAUGUAGUUGGCGUGCGUAGUACAGAAUUGGUUGAUUAAAAGAAUUUCCAUGUUGAGAUCUACAAUUUACAGCACUCUAUGACUCUGUACAAACACAUAUGGUUUCAGUUGCUAAAGUUUAUUGGUUUAAGGGCGCAUACAGUUAUGUACAAUACAUCUGUCCUUUUUGUCAA